rnacentral:rRNA from 1 species
ACGGAAGGCAGCAGUGGGGAAUAUUGCACAAUGGGCGCAAGCCUGAUGCAGCAACGCCGCGUGAGGGAAGACGGUUUUCGGAUUGUAAACCUCUGUCUUUGGUGACGAAGAAGUGACGGUAGCCAAGGAGGAAGCCACGGCUAACUACGUGCCAGCAGCCGCGGUAAUACGUAGGUGGCAAGCGUUAUCCGGAAUUACUGGGUGUAAAGGGAGCGCAGGCGGGAUAGCAAGUCAGCGGUGAAAAUUAUGGGUUCAACCCAUAAACUGCCGUUGAAACUGUUAUUCUUGAGUGGAGUAGAGGCAGGCGGAAUUCCGAGUGUAGCGGUGAAAUGCGUAGAUAUUCGGAGGAACACCAGUGGCGAAGGCGGCCUGCUGGGCUCUAACUGACGCUGAGGCUCGAAAGUGUGGGGAGCAAACAGGAUUAGAUACCCUGGUA